GAAGGAGGCAUGCCUGUUCUUUGUGGCUGGGCGGGGGGUUAUCCGGACACAGGGAGUCUCCAGCUUCCGGCUUUCCCACCUCGGUGCCCCCAGCCCACACCUGCAGCUUGGCCAUGGUUCUUGGGGCCUCCCAAGGCUGCCCCUGCUGGCAAAGGCAUCCUGAUGCACCCGCCCCAGGGUGAGCCAAGGGCAGAGACACCCAGAAACGCCAGGCUGGAAGGUUGGAGAGCCCCUCCUCGCCCCCCGCAACACCAAUAAGCCCUGCCCCACCCUCCAAGCCCUUGGGUAUUACAGUUCCAAAACAUAACUUGAAGGUCAGCACAGGAGCUGCUGUGAUAUAAAAGGAGAGAGUCACCUGGCGCCCCCUGCAGUCCUCCAGUUGCCCAGCAGCGGUGGGACGCUCAGUGGCACACACUGGGUCUCUGUAUGGCCUCCCACCUGCAAGGACUUCCCCGGGCAGGCCCAGCUGCCCAGAAGCCCCGGAACACACAGGAAGACAACACUAUAGGAUGGCAGGUGGGGAUCUGUGCAAUACAAACAUGUAGCUAGAAAACCCAACUGAGGAUCUGUCUAGAAUACU
rnacentral:lncRNA from 1 species